UACGUAGGAUGCGAGCGUUAUCCGGAUUUAUUGGGUUUAAAGGGUGCGUAGGCGGGAUGCCAAGUCAGCGGUAAAAAUGCGGUGCUCAACGCCGUCGAGCCGUUGAAACUGGCGUUCUUGAGUGGGCGAGAAGUAUGCGGAGUGCGUGGUGUAGCGGUGAAAUGCAUAGAUAUCACGCAGAACUCCGAUUGCGAAGGCGGCAUACCGGCGCCCUACUGACGCUGAGGCACGAAAGCGUGGGUAUCGAACAGG
rnacentral:rRNA from 1 species